rnacentral:rRNA from 1 species
GAUGAACGCUAGCGGGAGGCUUAACACAUGCAAGUCGAGGGGCAGCACGGGUAGCAAUACUUGGUGGCGACCGGCAGACGGGUGAGUAACGCGUAUGUAACCUACCCCAUACAGAGGGAUAACUCGAAGAAAUUCGGACUAAUAUCUCAUAAGACCACACGAGGACAUCCGAGAGUGGUUAAAGUUCCGGCGGUAUGGGCUGGGCAUGCGUAACAUUAGCUAGUUGGUAAGGUAACGGCUUACCAAGGCUUCGAUGUUUAGGGGUCCUGAGAGGGUGGUCCCCCACACUGGUACUGAGACACGGACCAGACUCCUACGGGAGGCAGCAGUGAGGAAUAUUGGUCAAUGGGCGCAAGCCUGAACCAGCCAUCCCGCGUGCAGGAAGACGGCCCUAUGGGUUGUAAACUGCUUUUCCAGGGGGCGAAUAGCUCUUACGUGUAAGGGUAUGACUGUACCUUGGGAAUAAGCAUCGGCUAACUCCGUGCCAGCAGCCGCGGUAAUACGGAGCGUG